UAUUGGCAUGCGUGGAUUUAGAUGGUGCAAUUGAAGGGACGAUUAUGCCAUUUUUCCAACAGUUUUCUGUUUACAAAUGCUUUUAAUGGAACCCACAAAAGUUGGUUGGAAGGUUAGGACCAAAGAAUUUAUAUUAUGAACAGAGGUAUUUAGAGAGAACAUAUUGAAGCAGAAAUGGAAAUAACCCUAGCAAAAUGUAAGGUUUUUUUAUAGUGGUUAAGCAACCUCCAGUAAAAAAAAAGUUGCAGCGGAUCUUCGGUGUCAAAAGGCAUGACUACAAGCGGUAUCUGUGUUAGCGGGCCAUGGGUACAACUUAAGUAGGGCGGGAGGUGGCGGUCGACCCCCGAACUUUUCGCUCAGUAGUGGAGAAUAUGUAGUUUUCAUAUAGAAAUUUUUGGGUAUAUACGUUUUUGACCCCUCGGUUUUGUAGAAAUUUUUAGGUCCGAUGACGUCCGGUCCCCCGGUCAGAAAUCUCAAGCUUCGUCAAUGCAGGGCGUUGGUGACCUUUUACCAAGGGUUUACCCAGAUGACUAGGUUUGUAUAGUAUUCGUUUGCCUUAAAAAAACAAUUUAUUGUGGCUCAUAGAAAUUUACAAGAUAGAUGUCGAUGCUUCUUGUAUGAUACUAAGAAACAACUGAAACAAACAAUAAAUAAUCGAUUUUGAUAUUAACUUUAUCCCUCUUUGUUAUAAUGGCUUGAUUAGUUGAUUCACUUGUUGACUGGUGUUUGGAUACUGUUGAAUGCUGGUUUUAUUGUUUAAUUUGAUCACUAGUGGAGGAAAAAAGUCUGAGAACUCUUUGCUUUGCUGACAAGUUGUAAUUUUAGAUAAGUUUUUGUGAGAAGAAAUGGCAAAUUGCUUGUUGUUGUUGUUGUUGAGUUGUUGUGAGGGUGCUGACUUUUUGUUUGUUUUUGGGGAACUAUGGUUUGUUUGUCAUGAAACGCAACGUAGGACAUAGUUACGUAAAAUGGUUUGUUUGUACAAUGAUAUGAAAAGCUACUUACUCCAAAUAUACUUAUGCAGCUUUAUUUUUAUUAGUGAAGCGGAAUUGUAAUGUAAGUUUAAGAGAAGAAGAUAUAGGAGUGAUGUUCUGAAUUCUAACAUUAACAUGUGGUUAUGUUUAGCUGUAUAACUUCUACGAGUGAUGAACUGUGUGAGCCAUUGUUGGUUAAAGAAACUUGCACUGCACCCCUGUAAUUUGUAACAAUACCAUGCAUUCUUGCGAAUGAUAGUAUUUAUGGGUUCUGAAGACUGGUGUUGCUGCAAGUUCCUAUAUAUAUUUUCCACUGAUUUGUUCUAGUUUCUUUUAGUUCAUAUGUAAGGGUUUUACAGAAUCAAAACUUCAUGUGUUAGACUGAUUACCCUCAAAGCUGGCAUAAAAGUUCCGGAAGUCGAUGUAAGAAUCUCUCCAUGCGUUUCAAUUUCUUUUUUGACCAUUUUUUCUUGGUCCUCAUCGUCAUUCUAUGAGUCCAAACAUGUCGUUAUGGCAAUGAUUGCUCUUCAAGGCUUAGGGGCUGUUUGGUAGCCUCUGAAUGGUCAUUAAGAGGCUACCUCUGAAUGGUCAUUAAGAGGCUACCUCUGAAUGGUCAUUAAGAGGCUACCUCUUAAUGGAACCAUUAAUAAUUUUACCAAUGAGAAGGUAGAAGAAUGUGACAUGUGAUGAUUUACCAUUCAGAGGUUACCUCUUAACCAUUCAGACUUGAGGUUACCUUUUAUUCAUUCAGAGGUUUUAAACCAUUAGGUGGCAUUGGUUUCAUAUUUGGUAGCUAUCUUGGUGCCAUUUUGCUGGUAAAUAACCAUAUUUUUGUGUCACUAGAAGCUCUUAUUGACAGUUGACAUAAUUUUUCAGUGUAUUGAAUUCUUUUAUCUGUCUACAGGUUCUGCACCAGCUUAUUUUUACACCUGUAUUGUAUGAUUUCUACAACUAUGAUGUUGACAAAACAGAAUUCAGUCAACUUUUUUCAAAGUUCACACAGGAUAUGGCUUUGCUGAGGGCAUUGUUAUAUUUCAUAGGGAUGAAACACUCGAUAUCGCUUCGGAAAUCACAGAAAACUCCCAAGGCGAAAACAAAUUAGUUGUGACCUUAGUGUCAAGUGUUUAGCUUAAACAAUAUACGUAAUCUCUGCAUCAUAAUUGGCUAUUGAAUUGUAUAAUUUAUUACCCCCAUUCACAUUACAUGACUAAUUGAAUGUUCCAUUUCU
rnacentral:lncRNA from 1 species